rnacentral:rRNA from 1 species
AUUGAACGCUAGCGGGAUGCUUUACACAUGCAAGUCGAACGAGUGGCGGACGGGUGAGUAAUAUAUAGGAAACUGCCCAGUGGAGGGGGAUAACUACUUGAAAGGGUAGCUAAUACCGCAUACAAUUGGAGAUGCAGAGAUCGGAUUAGCUAGUUGGUGGGGUAAAGGCUCACCAAGGCAACGAUCCAUAGCUGGUUUGAGAGGACGACCAGCCACACUGGAACUGAGACACGGCCCAGACUCCUACGGGAGGCAGCAGUGGGGAAUUUUGGACAAUGGGGGAAACCCUGAUCCAGCCAUCCCGCGUGUGUGAGAAGGCCUUCGGGUUGUAAAGUACUUUUGGCAGGGAAGCGGUAUCUGCAGAAUAAGCACCGGCUAACUACGUGCCAGCAGCCGCGGUAAUAC